AUGAACGCUGGCGGCGUGCCUAAUACAUGCAAGUCGAGCGACAGAUAAGGAGCUUGCUCCUUUGACGUUAGCGGCGGACGGGUGAGUAACACGUGGGUAACCUACCUAUAAGACUGGGAUAACUUCGGGAAACCGGAGCUAAUACCGGAUAACAUUUGGAACCGCAUGGUUCUAAAGUGAAAGAUGGUUUUGCUAUCACUUAUAGAUGGACCCGCGCCGUAUUAGCUAGUUGGUAAGGUAACGGCUUACCAAGGCAACGAUACGUAGCCGACCUGAGAGGGUGAUCGGCCACACUGGAACUGAGACACGGUCCAGACUCCUACGGGAGGCAGCAGUAGGGAAUCUUCCGCAAUGGGCGAAAGCCUGACGGAGCAACGCCGCGUGAGUGAUGAAGGGUUUCGGCUCGUAAAACUCUGUUAUUAGGGAAGAACAAAUGUGUAAGUAACUGUGCACGUCUUGACGGUACCUAAUCAGAAAGCCACGGCUAACUACGUG
rnacentral:rRNA from 1 species